rnacentral:rRNA from 1 species
UACGGGGGGGGCAAGCGUUGUUCGGAAUUACUGGGCGUAAAGGGCUCGUAGGCGGCCAACUAAGUCAGACGUGAAAUCCCUCGGCUUAACCGGGGAACUGCGCCUGAUACUGGAUGGCUUGAGUUUGGGAGAGGGAUGCGGAAUUCCAGGUGUAGCGGUGAAAUGCGUAGAUAUCUGGAGGAACACCGGUGGCGAAGGCGGCAUCCUGGACCAACACUGACGCUGAGUGAGCGAAAGCCAGGGGAGCAAACGGG